rnacentral:rRNA from 1 species
ACGCACGCUGGCGGCGUGCUUCACACCUGCCAGUCGAACGGAAAGGCCCCUUUGGGGGUCCUCGAGUGGCGAACGGGUGAGUAACACGUGAGUAACCUGCCCUUGACUUCGGGAUAACUUCAGGAAACUGGGGCUAAUACCGGAUAGGAAUCCUUGCUGCAUGGUGGGGGUUGGAAAGCUUCGGCGGUUUUGGAUGGACUCGCGGCUUAUCAGCUUGUUGGUGGGGUAGUGGCUUACCAAGGCUUUGACGGGUAGCCGGCCUGAGAGGGCGACCGGCCACAUUGGGACUGAGAUACGGCCCAGACUCCUACGGGAGGCAGCAGUGGGGAAUAUUGCACAAUGGGCGGAAGCCUGAUGCAGCAACGCCGCGUGCGGGAUGACGGCCUUCGGGUUGUAAACCGCUUUCAGCAGGGGCGAAGCUUGUGGUGACGGUACCUGCAGAAGAAGCACCGGCUAACUACGUG